GUUGUGUUCAGCCCGGGUAGAUGGAGUCCGCUCUCCAACCCUAAUUAUGUCUGAUUGAAGAGUUGAAGAUCGUCUCACCUCUUUGUCCGACGGCGACGCGGUGACGUCUGGGCUCCUUCUCGCCAUCUGAAACGGUCCGAGCUGUGACACAGUGUUUAAUCUCAUCCAAUGUGUCAUUUAGAUCUGCAGCAAGGCGGUGUAUAAUCUAUAUAAAUAUGGCUGUGUUUGAUCCAAUGGAAGGAUUAGAAUUGGUUUAGGCGCAAGAGAUCUAUGGAAUGACCCGAGAAAGCAAAAUCAUGGAGCAUCAAGGAUCAGAUUUGAUGUGGGGAGAAAAUGAGCUUAUGGCUCAAGAAAUCUGUUCUUCUUCUCACCAACUCAUUAACACAUAUCGUAGCAUCUGUUGCAUGUCUGAUCUUGGAGUCAUUGUUGAGAUUCAGCAUGUUGGAAAGAGUUCUACUUGGAUAUACCCAUCAUCACUCGAAUGUUUGUUAUCAGCAUCGGUGAACAGCAUCAACACAUCGACGGAACACGAUAACGGAAUCUCUGUGCUUUUCUCAGAUUUUUAUACUCUUUGGAGCUUUGGUAGUCUCAUCGGCAGAGUAGUCUGAGAACAAAGAGAUAACGACUGAGACAACAAUAAAGCCAAUUCUUUGAAGAGAAACAAAGACAUGACAGGAAGACACUUCCAUAUUUUUCACCAUCUUAUGGAGGGUCAAACCAGAAAUUAGCAAGGCGGGGAUCAAGUGGACAACCCAAUGAAAUCAUAACAGAACAUUUGUCUUUAAGAGCUGAGACAAUGAAUCUUGAAACUCUAAUAGGAGACUGGGUUAGACCA